GUAGUCCACGCCGUAAACGAUGAACACUAGGUGUGGGCGGAGUCGAAUCUGUCCGUGCCGCAGCCAACGCGAUAAGUGUUCCGCCUGGGGAGUACGGCCGCAAGGCUAAAACUCAAAAGAAUUGACGGGGGCCCGCACAAGCAGCGGAGCAUGUUCUUUAAUUCGAUGCAACGCGAAGAACCUUACCUGGACUUGACAUGGUGCUGCAAGCGCACGGAAACGUGUGACCUUCGAGGGUGCACCACAGAUGCUGCAUGGCUGUCGUCAGCUCGUGUCGUGAGAUGUUGGGUUAAG
rnacentral:rRNA from 1 species